CUUCACUAUCUCUUCUCUCGUCUUCUUCAAGCAGCACUACAACGAUGAUUUCUUUUUCUCUCAUCCAUGGCUUCCACCCUCCUCUCAGAUUUCUUUAGACUCCUAGAGGUUAGCUAUGGAAAUUGGAGAAUCCACAGAUGUUGAUGUGUGAAAGAAUGCGCUCACGCCUAAUAAGGCUAUUAUAUAUCAGAAGUUUGGUAAUGAGGCAUUCUUUAAAGUUGAGGAAGUACAGGAUCUAACCAAAAUGAAUGCCCGGUAUUGGCUAUUAUACAGAGAGGUCCUUGCCUGUACCGUUGCUCAUUGCAGCUUCCUGGAAUUUCUGUUAGCUCUGGAACUUUUAAAAAGAAGAAGGAGCUAAGCAAUCGGCCUCAGAAUUCAAACACUAACUAUUAUAAUUGAAUGCAAUAUCUAUGGUUAUAGUAUCAACUUACAAGUGUUUUUUUCAGUUGCAAAUAAGGAAACAAUUACACCAUCCAAGCGAAAGACAAACCCUUGUGUAAUGUUGAGUCUUCUUUAAAUUAUGAUAAAGCCAUGAUUUCACAGAACCUGAUUGCAAAGAUAGAACAAGAGAAAAUUAAAGUUGAACCUUCAGGUGUGUUUAUGAUUCAAGAAUAAUGUAAAACAUUCUUAAGAAAAGUUAGCUUACAUUUUGUUUAUAAAUUAAGGUACUAAUAAGAGGCCUUCAACUUCAGGACUUAGCAGAGCUUUUGAAUCAGCAUAUUCCAUUUACUUUUGGAAUGCAUUAUUUUGAGGAAAAGACACAAACUGUGAUGCUUUGGGUUGGUGAGAAAUAUUUGGUAUGUGAUAAAUCAGAAUAUAAGUUUUCUGGGUAGACGACUCUCUUCAGCCAAGAGAUGUAUGCAUCUUUGAGCUGAUUAAGAGAAAUCAAUCUAGGAUGAAAGUUUACAUAUUUAGACAAUCUGGUUUGGCUCAAGAGUAGUAAUUGUUGUACACUUGUGAUUAUGCAAAUCUUAAGAAUCAUUUUGGGAUAAACGAAUUUUCCACUUAUAUACAG